rnacentral:ncRNA from 2 species
AGCAUCUGCACCUGUGUUGGUGCCUGUGUAAACAGGUGAAAAGGGAAUGUGCGCCCGGAGGUUUUCCGGUUAAGCACAGCCGCCCCCGCGACCGUGAACGGAAAAAGGUGGAUCACCGCCACUGGCCAAAGGCUGGGAAGGCAGAUCCACCGCAGGGCACCGCCCCUAAAUCCGUGAGCCGGGAGACCUGCCAACACAUGUUGCCACGA